rnacentral:rRNA from 1 species
GCGAACGCUGGCGGCGUGGCUUAGGCAUGCAAGUCGAACGUGAAAGCCCGCAAGGGUGAGUAAAGUGGCGAAAGGGUGAGUAAUAUAUCGAUAACCUACCCUCAAGACGGGGACAACAGCUCGAAAGGGCUGCUAAUACCCGAUGGUUCUGGGUUGAUGCAUUCUUCCCAGCUAACGGUGGGUCCUUCGGGGCCUUCUGCUCGAGGAGGGGCCGAUAUCCUAUCAGCUAGUUGGCGGGAUAACAGCCCACCAAGGCUUUGACGGGUAGCCGGACUGAGAGGUCGACCGGUCACACUGGCACUGAGGACACUGGCCAGACUCCUACGGGAGGCUGCAGUCGAGAAUCUUCCGCAAUGGCGAAAGCCUGACGGAGCGACGCCGCGUGCAGGAUGAAGGCCCUCGGGUUGUAAACUGCUGUCAAAUGUUAGGAAUGGUUAGUCGCGAAUAACGACUAACUUGACAAGGGCAUGAGAGGAAGUCACGGCUAACUUCGUGCCAGCAGCCGCGGUAAGACGAAGGUGGCAAGCGUUGCUCGGAAUCACUGGCAUAAAGCGCGCGUAGGUGGCUUGAUAAGUCGGUGGUGAAAUCCCAUGGCUCAACCAUGGAACUGCCGUCCGAUACUGUCAGGCUUGAGGGCGGUAGGGGAGAGUGGAACUCCUGGUGUAGCGUGAAAUGCGUAGAUAUCAGGAGGAACGCCGGUGGCGAAAGCGACUCUCUGGGCCGUUCCUGACACUGAUGCGCGAGAGCUAGGGGAGCAACAGGAUUAGAUACCCUGGUAGUCCUAGCUGUAAACGAUGGGCACUAGGUAGAGGUGGUUUCGAAGCCUCCUCUGCCGGAGCUAAUGUGUUAAGUGCCCCGCCUGGGGAGUAUGGUCGCAAGGCUAAAACUCAAAGGAAUUGACGGGGGCUCACACAAGCGGUGGAGCAUGUGGUUUAAUUCGAAGCAACGCGAAGAACCUUACCCGGGUUUGAAAUGCUAGGAUUAGCCUCCUGAAAGGGAGGUGACGCCCUUGUGGUGGAACUAGCACAGGUGUUGCAUGGCUGUCGUCAGCUCGUGUCGUGAGAUGUCGGGUUAAGUCCCUUAACGAGCGAAACCCUUGUCCUUAGUUGCCAGCACUUCGGGUGGGUACUCUAGGGAGACUGCCGUUGUUUAAAACGGAGGAAGGUGGGGACGACGUCAAGUCAUCAUGGCCUUUAUGUCCGGGGCUACACACGUGCCACAAUGGCCGGUACAAAGGGAUGCAAAGCCGUGAGGUUAGAGCAAAACCCAGAAAGGCCGGUCCCAGUUCGGAUUGGAGGCUGCAAUUCGCCUCCAUGAAGUCGGAAUCGCUAGUAAUCGCGGAUCAGCUACGCCGCGGUGAAUAUGUUCCUGAGCCUUGUACACACCGCCCCGUCAAGCCACGAAAAGCUGGUAGUACCUGAAGUCGUGUACCCAACCCGCAAGGGAGGGAAGCGCCCACGGUAAAACCGGUGAUUGGGACU